rnacentral:rRNA from 1 species
UACGGGGGGGGCAAGCGUUGUUCGGAAUUACUGGGCGUAAAGGGCUCGUAGGCGGCCAACUAAGUCGGAUGUGAAAUCCCCAAGCUUAACUUGGGAACUGCAUCCGAUACUGGAUGGCUUGAAUCCGGGAGAGGGAUGCAGAAUUCCAGGUGUAGCGGUGAAAUGCGUAGAUAUCGUCUGGAACGCCAAAGGUGAAGACAGUCUGCUGGGAACUUGCUGACGCUGAGACACGAAAGCCAGGGGAGCGAACGGG